UACAGAGGAGCCAAGCGUUGUCCGGAUUGACUGGGCGUAAAGCGCACGCAGGCGGUCGCGCGCGUGGGGUGUGAAAUCUGGCCGCUUAACGGCCAGGCGCCAUCCCAUACGGCACGACUGGAGUGAUGCAGAGGUCGGUGGAAUUCCCGGUGUAGUGGUGAUAUGCGUAGAGAUGUGGAGGAACACCAGUGGCGAAGGCGACUCUCUGGUCUGUAACUGACGCUGAGGAGCGAAAGCGUGGGGAGCGAACAGG
rnacentral:rRNA from 1 species